AGGUCAGAACGAAGGCACCAUUUCCGU
rnacentral:piRNA from 1 species